GAUAAAUUGAUACAUACCGUUCUUCAAGCAAGUCAAGGUUUUACCUUUGCCUUUUAUUGGAAUCUUUGAUUCAUCUCCAAAAGUAAUAUUGCCACUUACUGAUUCAUCAAGCUCCAAGAACAUGUUUCUUCUUCUGUGCAUAUGGUUGCCUGCUCCCGCGUCCAAAUACUAAGUAUUCUUUUCUCUAUUUUCUUCACCUUUGUAAGCCAACAAUAGUGUAGAAUCCAUUUCAUUUUCCUAAACGGAAAAGUUGGAAUUCUCCUUAAUUUGGUUAAUAACAUUUCUACAUUGUGAAGUAUAAAUACCAAGUUUUUGACAAUUGUAACAUUUAAAUUGAGAUUUGUCAUAUCUUGGCCUUUCAUUUUGCAUCAUAACUCUUCUUUUUCCACAAUCUCUAGUGAAAAAUGAGCUCUUGUUCUUUCCUCCUUGUAGAAUGCACUUCUUCCUCGAUCUUAGCUACAUCAUCUUCCUCUUCGGCUUCUCCUAUUGCCGAAUCUUCCUUCACCCUCAUUCAAGGCGAGUUUUGUUUGAAGAGUUUGCUCUAAUGGCUCUUCUUUCACCUUCUUCUUAAGUCUUUCUUCAUGGGCAUGUAAAGAUCCCAUGAGUUGAUUGACACUCGUACUAUCUAGAUCUUCAAAUUCUUCAAUGGAUACAACUAUGUAGUCAAAUUUAG
rnacentral:lncRNA from 1 species